GUGGUACCACACUCACUAAAGAUGGAACUAUACAGAGAAGACAGCGUGGCCCCUACACAGGACAUGCACAUCCGUGAAGCAAUCCAUCA
rnacentral:snRNA from 1 species